rnacentral:rRNA from 1 species
AAAUUGAAGAGUUUGAUCAUGGCUCAGAUUGAACGCUGGCGGCAGGCCUAACACAUGCAAGUCGAGCGGUAGCACAGAGAGCUUGCUCUCGGGUGACGAGCGGCGGACGGGUGAGUAAUGUCUGGGAAACUGCCUGAUGGAGGGGGAUAACUACUGGAAACGGUAGCUAAUACCGCAUAAUGUCGCAAGACCAAAGUGGGGGACCUUCGGGCCUCAUGCCAUCAGAUGUGCCCAGAUGGGAUUAGCUAGUAGGUGGGGUAAUGGCUCACCUAGGCGACGAUCCCUAGCUGGUCUGAGAGGAUGACCAGCCACACUGGAACUGAGACACGGUCCAGACUCCUACGGGAGGCAGCAGUGGGGAAUAUUGCACAAUGGGCGCAAGCCUGAUGCAGCCAUGCCGCGUGUGUGAAGAAGGCCUUCGGGUUGUAAAGCACUUUCAGCGGGGAGGAAGGCGGUGAGGUUAAUAACCUCAGCGAUUGACGUUACCCGCAGAAGAAGCACCGGCUAACUCCGUGCCAGCAGCCGCGGUAAUACGGAGGGUGCAAGCGUUAAUCGGAAUUACUGGGCGUAAAGCGCACGCAGGCGGUCUGUCAAGUCGGAUGUGAAAUCCCCGGGCUCAACCUGGGAACUGCAUUCGAAACUGGCAGGCUAGAGUCUUGUAGAGGGGGGUAGAAUUCCAGGUGUAGCGGUGAAAUGCGUAGAGAUCUGGAGGAAUACCGGUGGCGAAGGCGGCCCCCUGGACAAAGACUGACGCUCAGGUGCGAAAGCGUGGGGAGCAAACAGGAUUAGAUACCCUGGUAGUCCACGCCGUAAACGAUGUCGAUUUGGAGGUUGUGCCCUUGAGGCGUGGCUUCCGGAGCUAACGCGUUAAAUCGACCGCCUGGGGAGUACGGCCGCAAGGUUAAAACUCAAAUGAAUUGACGGGGGCCCGCACAAGCGGUGGAGCAUGUGGUUUAAUUCGAUGCAACGCGAAGAACCUUACCUGGUCUUGACAUCCACAGAACUUUCCAGAGAUGGAUUGGUGCCUUCGGGAACUGUGAGACAGGUGCUGCAUGGCUGUCGUCAGCUCGUGUUGUGAAAUGUUGGGUUAAGUCCCGCAACGAGCGCAACCCUUAUCCUUUGUUGCCAGCGGUUAGGCCGGGAACUCAAAGGAGACUGCCAGUGAUAAACUGGAGGAAGGUGGGGAUGACGUCAAGUCAUCAUGGCCCUUACGACCAGGGCUACACACGUGCUACAAUGGCAUAUACAAAGAGAAGCGACCUCGCGAGAGCAAGCGGACCUCAUAAAGUAUGUCGUAGUCCGGAUUGGAGUCUGCAACUCGACUCCAUGAAGUCGGAAUCGCUAGUAAUCGUAGAUCAGAAUGCUACGGUGAAUACGUUCCCGGGCCUUGUACACACCGCCCGUCACACCAUGGGAGUGGGUUGCAAAAGAAGUAGGUAGCUUAACCUUCGGGAGGGCGCUUACCACUUUGUGAUUCAUGACUGGGGUGAAGUCGUAACAAGGUAACCGUAGGGGAACCUGCGGUUGGAUCACCUCCUUACCUUAAAGAA